CAGCAGCCGCGGUAAUACAGAGGAUGCAAGCGUUAUCCGGAAUUAUUGGGCGUAAAGGGCUCGCAGGCGGUUUCUUAAGUCUGAUGUGAAAGCCCCCGGCUCAACCGGGGUGGGUCAUUGGAAACUGGGAAACUUGAGUGCAGAAGAGGAGAGUGGAAUUCCACGUGUAGCGGUGAAAUGCGUAGAGAUGUGGAGGAACACCAGUGGCGAAGGCGACUCUCUGGUCUGUAACUGACGCUGAGGAGCGAAAGCGUGGGGAGCGAACAGGAUUAGAUACCCCUGUAGUCCCUGUCUCUUAUAC
rnacentral:rRNA from 1 species